rnacentral:rRNA from 1 species
GACGAACGCUGGCGGCGUGCUUAACACAUGCAAGUCGAGCGGUAAGGCCCUUUCGGGGGUACACGAGCGGUGAACGGGUGAGUAACACGUGGGUGACCUGCCCUCAGCUCUGGGAUAAGCCUGGGAAACCGGGUCUAAUACUGGAUAUGACUCCAUGACGCAUGUUGUGGGGUGGAAAGCCUUGUGCGGCUGAGGAUGGGCCCGCGGCCUAUCAGCUUGUUGGUGGGGUGANGGCCUACCAAGGCGACGACGGGUAGCCGGCCUGAGAGGGCGACCGGCCACACUGGGACUGAGACACGGCCCAGACUCCUACGGGAGGCAGCAGUGGGGAAUCUUGCGCAAUGGGCGAAAGCCUGACGCAGCGACGCCGCGUGAGGGAUGACGGCCU